rnacentral:rRNA from 1 species
GACGAACGCUGGCGGCGUGCUUAACACAUGCAAGUCGAACGGAAAGGCCCUGCUUUUGUGGGGUGCUCGAGUGGCGAACGGGUGAGUAACACGUGAGUAACCUGCCCUUGACUUUGGGAUAACUUCAGGAAACUGGGGCUAAUACCGGAUAGGAGCUCCUGCUGCAUGGUGGGGGUUGGAAAGUUUCGGCGGUUGGGGAUGGACUCGCGGCUUAUCAGCUUGUUGGUGGGGUAGUGGCUUACCAAGGCUUUGACGGGUAGCCGGCCUGAGAGGGUGACCGGCCACAUUGGGACUGAGAUACCGCCCAGACUCCUACGGGAGGCAGCAGUGGGGAAUAUUGCACAAUGGGCGGAAGCCUGAUGCAGCAACGCCGCGUGGGGGAUGACGGCCUUCGGGUUGUAAACCGCUUUCGCCUGUGACGAAGCGUGAGUGACGGUAAUGGGUAAAGAAGCACCGGCUAACUACGUG